UUGAAUUACAUACAUAUAUAUACAUAUGUAUAUGUACACUCUCUUCAACAUUUCGUGCAUGCUGCUUAUCGAUUUAUAUACUAUAUAUAUAUAACAGUAACACUGAAUGGCCUACAGAUCACAUAUUUAAACCCAAAAUCCGCCUAAAAUAACGAACAAACAGGCAGUUGGCAAAAAUGCACGGUAUGAUCGGAAAAUAACAAACGGAAUCAAUGUGAAUGGAAAAGCGUAGACAUUUUAUUUGUUGACCGUCAAUCACCUCAAAGUACAGAACGACGGAAAAAAUGGCGCGUUGUGUGAAGAAGCGAGGUGAAAGCUCUCUAGAGGCUAAUAUACACGCACUGUAUGUUAUAAUUUUGCUUGGAUUACACAGUUCACACUGAUUUCGUAUGCUAAAUAGACAUAUUUCAAAUUUUUUUUAUUUAAAUUUAAAUUUAUACUUUUACAUAUAUUUAUAUAUAUAUGUAUAUAUGUAUGUACGCAUGUACUUUUUUGCUUUUGGAAGCACAAGUAAACGAAACCGUACCAGAAUAAGCGCAAAAGCAGGCGGCCACGACAAUGACGAGCACAGUACUGACUGAAUGUUUUCACAAAUUGAAAAUCGCUACACGACAAUAAGGAAUCAAAAUCAGCAACGACAAUGAAAAUUACAAGUAGUAGCCAAAUAAAAAUACCUCUAUGUGGAUUAUUUAAACAAAGAAGACGGCGAAGCGAUAACGCAACUGGAAUGGCGAUAAAUAAAGCUACGAUUGUAUUAUCGCGGUGACAAUGACGGUAGCGACUGCGAGCACAACAUUCGCGAACGACCACAAAAAAGCGACUAAUCAAGACCAAAAAUGCUAUAUAGUGAACAGCCAUCGAUACUCACAUAUUGCCACUAGCUAGCGGUGGCUGGCGUAAAGGCCACAAGCUCGGGCUUGCAAGUGAUUAGCGAGCAGCAAAGGUAGAACACUGAAAAGCGAACAAGCAAGGUAAAGAGCAAAUAAUCCGCAAUGUACUCAUUGGGGAUCGGCUGAUGGAAAGCGAGAGAAAUGCCAGAACUUUGUCAUCAUAGCCAAAGCUGCGCAGUGCGGUAUUUACAUAUUUGUGUUAAAUAUGUGUUUUACUCUACUCUAUUAAACACCAGUUAUUUUCAAAAUUCAGUUAAUUAUAAAAUUUAUGCUUUUAAUUAAUAUGUACGUAUGUAUAUAAGUUAAAUACAAAAAAUACAUUUGUUUGUUGUAAUUCAUUAUCAGUACGGAUCAUUACAAAUCUGUUACAUUAUCACUCAAAAAAUAAUUGAAAUCGAAAUGAGAAAUUUGUCGCGUCAAUAUGACGACUACGUCCACUAGUAUUUUCACAAUUCAUACCACAUACGAACAAAUAACUAGUUGACCGGUCACCACAACUAUAGCAAUAACGUAUACUACUUUGGAAUAAGCCUUAACACAAUAAACAGGCACGUGUAAACCUAUUCCACACUCCAUAUAUACAUACAUACAUGUGUCUGAUGUAGACAAUAACGACGAAAGGCGUCGGCGCCAAGAAUGUUUCAUGUAUGGCAAACUUUAAUUCGGUGCGCGAAAAUUUACG